rnacentral:lncRNA from 1 species
AUAAUGUGGUGAUGACAAGUGUCCUAUAUCUAAAUUAAUUCAAAAGGGUGAAUUAGUAAUUUUCUAUUUCUUUCAAUUAACUGAUUAAAAGAUAACUGCCCAAAAUAACCGCCACCCUUUAUUAUAGGAAUUCGAAUUUAAGAAUUAAUCUACGAAUUUGUGUCAUCUCGUUCACCGGUUAUUAAUUCUUGCAACCACCAUUCAGAACUGUAUAGUGUUAUAUAUUUUUAUAUAAUGUUAUAUAGUGUUACAUGUGUUAUAUAGUGUUAUAUUUUUCUGGUUGCAUGUCUAUGAUGGAUGUAUAG